UAGGGGCCGGCCGCGAACGGUUCCCGGAGACGGGAUGAAAAGGGAAGUCGGGAAGGGCGAAUAGCCUAGCCCCGCGCUGCCCCCGCAACUGUGAUCGGUGAGUGCCGUCCACUCGUGCCACUGGAGUUCGCUCCGGGAAGGCCGGGCGGCACGUUGACCCGAGAGCCAGGAGACCUGCCGGUCGCACGUCGAUCCA
rnacentral:ncRNA from 1 species